rnacentral:misc_RNA from 1 species
UCUCCGUUGGUGAACCAGCGGAGGGAUCAUUAUCGAGUUUAUAACUCCCAAACCCUAUGUGAACUUACCACUUGUUGCUUCGGCGCGCGCUUCGGUGCCGCCGAGGACACUUAAACUCUUUGUUUUUAUAAGCAUUUCUGAGUGGCCGAAAGGCAAAAUACGAAUGAAUCAAAACUUUCAACAACGGAUCUCUUGGUUCUG